GUCAGCCGCUCUCGCAAGGGCUGCUGGGGGCUUCCGGGUUGCGGAAUCGAAGUGCAGCCAGGAAAGCCGUAGGGGCGUUCUCUGUAUCUCUCUAUCUCUGUACUUCUGUAUCUCUGUACAUCGAGAUCUUCUCCAACGGCUCCGGCCGAGCUGGCUCCGAUCAGCUGAUCUCGGGAACUGAGUGUUUUUCUUGUUUCCCCAGGCGUUAUUUACUUGUAUUUUCCUACUUGUAUUCAAAAACAUGCUAUGAAAAUGUUUUCCAUAGCACAGGAACGGAUUAGUCUUUUCUCUGUAAUCUGAAACAAAGAAUAUAACUGAAAUUUAUUUCAGAUGGAGAAUGACCUCCGUUAAGGGAAUCUCCUGUUACUAUUGAAAAUGAGAGCUUACAUAUGAUGUUGCUAAGCAACAGGGAGGCUGUAGGAGACUUCCCACUUUUUAGCAGCAGUCUAAACAAAGAACACUUCCUACCUGCAGAAGAGGGUCUGCAAUCAAGUUUGGAGAGGGGUCAGUCCCCAAAUCCUUUGAAGCACUAAAGGGUAGAAGGAACUGGCAACGGUCAUGUUCCAAAGAGAAGAGACCAUUGAGGGCUGCUGGAUGAGGAAGCCUUGGGAGGACCUAGACGUAAAAAUACCUGGAGACUGGAAUGGCAUUAGUGGCAGAACUGAUGCUCAAAAACAUGAACACAAGCCCAAGUGUAGCCAGGAGUUGGCUGAUGCAUUCUUCAGUUGAGCGUGAGAAAAUAUCCCUUGCAGGCUGGCAAAGACAAGUCCAAGAGCUGCAGAGAGCAGCAGCAGGAAUAGAGGCCAAGCUGUCCCUGGUUCCUGAAGAGGGAGAACCUUGAGAAUGAGGCGUGGGACUCACCAUGCACAAAAGAAGAAGAAGAGAUGUGUGGUACCGUGGGAUCUUUUCCAAAGUGUGACAUGUAGCAAUGACGAGCAGACUUUUUGUCUUCCACAACUUGUUUUGCUGCUGUGCUUCUUGGCCAGGGAUGUGUGAGAAGCGCUCUGGUCCCUGCCAGGCGCUUGUGUUGCCCACAGGGAGAGCUGACAAGUGGCAGCUGUGGAUGGUGCAGCCAGCCCUGAGCCCUUGCAAGCAGGGGCUGUUUUAGUUGAGGUUGUUGGUUUUGGUAGCUUGGUUGAGGUUGUUGAGGUGGUUGGAGGUUGUUUGUUUGAGGCAGGUUCUUUGAGGGUGGUUGUGAGAAGCUGGUUGUUGAAGGCCGGUGGGUUUAGGUUGCUUGAUGUAGGUGAUUUUUUUGGUUGAAGUUGUUUUGCAUUGAUUGUUUUAGGUGGGGUACCUGCAGUUGUUUUCAUUCAGGUUGUUUUCAGUAGUUUGGUUAACAGAGCAGAACUCUUCUCUCCUCUCCUCCUCUCACACAGAAUCACAGAAUGUUAGGGAUUGGAAGGGACCUCAAAAGAUCAUCUAGUCCAAUCCCCCUGCCAGAGCAGGAACACCUAGAUGAGGUUACACAGGAAGGCGUCCAGGCAGGUCUUGAAUGCCUCCAGAAUAGGAGACUCCACAACAUCCCUGAGCAGCCUGUUCCAGUGUUCUGUCACCCUCACUGAGAAGAAGUUUCUUCUCAAAUUUAAGUGGAACCUCCUGUGUUCCAGUUUGUACCCGUUACCCCUUGCCCUAUCAUUGGUUGUCACCGAGAAGAGCCUAGCUCCAUCCUCGUGACACUCACCCUUUACAUAUUUAUAAAUGUUAAUGAGAUCACCCCUCAGUCUGCUCUUCUCCAAACUAAAGAGACCCAGCUCUCUCAGCCUUUCCUCGUAAGGGAGAUGCUCCACUCUCUUCAUCAUCUUUGUUGGCCUACGCUGGACUCUCUCCAGCAGUUCCCUGUCCUUCUUGAACUGAGGGGCCCAGAACUGGACACAAUAUUCCAGAUGUGGUCCCACCAGGGCAGAGUAGAACGGAGAGAACCUCUCUGGACCUACUAACCACCCCCCUUCUAAUACAGCCCAGGAUGCCGUUGGCCUUCCAGGCCACAAUGGCACAGUGCUGGCUCAUGGUCAUCCUGCUGUCCACUAGGACCCCCAGGUCCCUUUCCCCUACACUGCUCUCUAAUAGGUCAUUCCCCAAUAGGUCGUCUCCUCCUCUCCUCCUCUCCUCUUCUCCUCUCCUCCUCUCCUCCUCUGUCUUUUCUCUGGUGGGUUUUGAAUGUCUCCAGAAAAGGAGACUCCACAACCUCUCUGAGCAACUGUUACAGUGCCCUGUCAGCCGCAGGGAAGUUUCUCCUCAUGUUUAGAUGAAACUUCUAUGCUUUAGUCUUUGCCUGUUGCCCAUCAUCCUAUCGUUGGGCACCACUGAAAAGAGUCUGGUCCUGUCCUCUUGACUGUUAUCCUUGAGAUAUUUAUAAGCACUGAUAAGAUCCCCUCUGAGCCCUCUCUUCUCCAGGCCGAACAGCCCCAGCUCUAUCAGACUCUCCUCGUAAGAAAGAUGCUCCAGGCCCAUAAUCAUCUUUGUAGCCUCCUGCUGGACCCCCUCCAGUAAUUCUUUGUCCUUCUUAAACUGAGGAGACCCUAACUGGAUGCAGUACUCCAGAUGCCUUCUCAUCAGGGCAGAGUAGAGGGGGUGAUCUUGAAAUGUGGGAGAAUGAUCAGUCUUUAGGGGAAAUGGACAGGUGUACCUUAUAUGAAGACUUUGAAAGAUGUUUCAGUGAUUCAUGACUGACCCUGCUCUAUAUUUGACUAUCUGUGACUUGGAUCCCAGGAACACCCUGUGGGAGAAGCUGGUGUUGCUGUGAGUUUCAGAAGAGUCUCAUAUACUCCUCACUCAGCAUCAGCCAACCAUUGUACUAGUGUUCCUGGUAUCAACCCAGGUAAAUAUAUUACAUAUUACUUUUCUAUUUAUGUUUUCAGAGUUGCUGGUGAAGAGAAGGUUGUUAGAGGACUCUAGCAGAAUUUGAAUGUUUGAUCUAGAGUAUAAAAUAAUAAUGCAUGUGUGUGUACACACACAGCAAGCCAUGUUAGCCGGUGCUACACUGUGCUGGCAUGAUGCACUAAUGUUGGUAGCAAUGUAGCCCUUAAGUAGUUCAUGCCCUAAUGAAAGCUCUAUGACCCACUUUAAAAACAAAACAGAAAAAAAAAACUCAAACAGAAAUAGCCUAAGUCCAAAUCUCUAUUUCACCGAACAGGCCGCUAUUUUUAAAUAUACAGUUAUGCAGUGUGUGUGUUGACUGACUAAAAUUGUAGCUAUUGUGAUAUAUUUGAAAGGAGGUGUAUUGCAGUGAGUUUAACUGUGUGUAACACUCAAGUGUGUGAUCUCAGAAUCCUGUGUUACCUCUGUUUUCAAGAGAUGAUUCAAUGACUGGCUCCUGUGACAUAGACAUUUGCUGUAAUAUAUUUUUGAACACUGCCUCCACUUAUGGCUACUUUUAUUCUCUUCUUUCAAAUUCAAUGUAGUUUGAGAUAAAGUCUAUCUAAGUACAUCAAAGAUAAUUACAGUAACAAAUAAUAAUCUGUCAAGUGAACUUAAAAUUUAAAUGAUGAAACAGUUAAGUAUUUUGUAUUAUGAACUGGCAUUGCUUCAGUCUUAUAGCCUCUACAUCAAGGGUAAAAUUUCAAAGGUAGCCAUCUAAACAUGUAUUCUUACUGCUUAAUAGAAAUACUGUUGCAAUAUAAAAUCUAACUUUCCCUAUAUUUAUGAUUAAAUCCCUUCAGAUGAAAUUUUCAAUAUUCUCUGAAUAUUGAAAACUAUAGUGUGAAAAAAGUUCAAUCCAAAUUUGGUGCAACAGAGGAAUUUCUGAUGGUUGAAGUGAAUUAGGCUAUUACAAUAUUUAUUUCAGGGAGAUGCAGUAUUUUGAGAUACUUAGGGGACUCACAGGAAUUCUGUAAACUCUAUUACAGCUGACAUAAUAGAGGAGAAGGAAGAAGCAAGCUUUCUGGAGUGCAGGGGGCUCUCUUCAUGUCCUUAAAUACCUACUGUGGUGCAGGAACUGAUGUCUGGAGUUGUUCGGUUCUUUCUUUGUGGCACUUCGUUCAUUCACUGACCCCAAACAGCUUGUUACUGUAGCUUGAGAGUCAGUAUAUUAAGAGAGCUGAAUAGAAUCCAUUGUAAUUUCCCAGUGGACAACUCAUGUUAGAACCCAAUAUAUCUAAAAGAACAUGAUAUUUUCCUACCUCUUCAAUUCCUACUCCCAAUUAUGAAAGUAAAUUUGUGUUUAAGCUCUUAAGAAGCUUUUUUUUUUUUUUUCCAACCAGCUAUCUUGCUUUGUCCAAAUAUUUUUGGAGAAGAAAACUGCGUCCUAGUUCAAGUAUCAUAAGCACAAGUCAUAAAGGUUAUUUGUUUAGGAAAAGAAGCAAACAUAGAGUUUGUCUGGGUUUUUGUUGUUGUUUUGUUUUUUCUUCAGUUUUUCAGAGGAGAUGUUAUUUUUCUUAAUUUCAAAUAGUGACUAUGAAAUUUAGUUCAACAGUCAUAAAUUCUGAGUAGUCAAAAUGAGCAUUUUGAAACAUCUAAUAAACAGAAAUUGACUUGUGCAAUCUCUUAAUUGAACAUCAGUAAACAAAGAGUGUAUGUUAUAAUGUGAAAGAUGUUACUGGUGUGGAGUAAUGUAUAUAUAGCCUGUGUCCACUACAGUCUUUUGCUUUGCUGUUCUUUACUUUCACUUGUAUUGGCAUUCUAUCCUAGCAGAAAUUUAAUAAACAAGAAAAUAUUUGUAUUUUAAA